CUUGCCAGCUUCUUCGCCAUCCUUUUUACCCCCCUCCGCUCGCUUGGCUUUGGACUCACUUCUUACUCCGCUCGCUCGCUCAUCUCCGCAGACUCCUUCACAGCGGCUUUUGUCUCUGAUCUCGUGUCAAAUGGAAGCCAUGCCAAGGAGGCGUGGCCGACCUCAUGUUAGCGUUACCCAAGUCAUCGCCGAAGCGCGCCGACAGGCAGCCUGCUGCGUGAUUCUCAGCAUCGCAACAUCAUGUUAUGCCUGUCUACUGGUGAGCUAGCUGGAAUUGCCGUGGGAGCUACUGUCAUGCUCAAUAUACUACGAGCAAGGAGCAACAGGAGCAUCAAUGAAUCCGGUGAGAACUUUGGGGCCAUCAAUAGCUACAAACAACUACAAAGCCAUAUGGAUCUACUCUACGGCUCCCAUCCUUGAUGCACUAGCAGGAGCAGGUACUUACUCUCUGGUAAAGCUACCCGAGGAAGACCUGAAAAACACACCACCAACAUUAUAACUUAUCCUGGUCAGUAGUUUCUGUAUAUGUGGGCCGUGGCCGUCCUGCUAUUAGCUUGUAAAUAUCUAUUAUUGAUAUACAGAGUUUCCUACUCAUCCACCAAAUCAGUUGAGAAAACAUCACUUUCAGGUAAUUAUGAAAAAGCUCAAAUGAGUUUUGUUUUGGUCCGGUUUCAACAUAUUUGAAAUGUGAGGUCUGAUAUUUCCAUUCAACGUAAAAUUCUCUAAGCUAAUGUAAUUGGUCCACAUAAUUACUGCCACAUUUUAAUCUUCUCUAAUUUUACCGAUCUGCCCCUAUUCUUGCCUAUUUGCCUCCACUAUUUGCCUCUUAAUUACGUGCCUGUUUACUUUUGCGGUUCAUUUCUCAUCCUUUCCGCCUCCCUACUGUUUUGCUUCGUCGUUCCUGAGCUCUGCCUCAUUCUCAGCGGAGACAUUAGCCUCUCUGUGGUGUCAUCGUCCUCGUGUUGUCAUCACCGAGGCCGUCGCUGAAGCACGCCUGUAGGCUUCCCGCUGCGUGAUUCUCAGCAUCGCGGCAGAGCCGCUUCGCAGGCCAGGAAGGUUCAUGGUUCAAUAUUCGGAAUAAAAAGGAUGAAAGAACCUGGUGGCUACCUUGGCUGGAUUAUAAAACUCUUCUUUUAUGAUGGAUUCUUUCAGUGCCAAGUGAAUCAUAUUAAUGAGAAAACACAGUCGCAAGGUGGCUGCGGGAUGCUGAUAUGUUCUUGCUCUACAGAGAGUCACUUUAUGUGACCUCUCCUUGUCUUGCUCCGAGGAGGUGUGUCACCAGCAUUUUAUGUCAGCUGCCGACACACUAGACAAUCCCUGUGGUGGUAACUCAAGCAGAGUGCUUAGAAAUCCAAUACGUUUAGAUGUUAACGGACCAUUAUAUUAUGGUAUCUAUAAGGGUGCUCUUCCGGUCAUUUCCAGUAACUCUGUGGCUGUUAGGAUUCUCUACCCCAUCUUUUGGGGUUUAAUGACCCUCAGCACAUUUGACAAUGACCUAGAACCAACAAGUAACUGGCUAGAAGUGGUAUUUAGUAUAACAAAUGUGCUUAGUGGUUUAAUGCUCUUCACUCUGUUGAUCGGAAAUAUUCAGGUAACUUUAUUAGCUUUGAUAUCAAUAAUUUAGCAAAAUGAAUGUAAAUUUGAAGGCAUUUAUGCAUGCGGUUAUGGCAAAGAAGAGGAAAAUGCAAAUACGAAUCAGAGAUAUGGAAUGGUGGAUGAAGAGGAGACAGUUACCAUCUCAGUUGAGACACAGAGUCAGGCACUAUGAACGCCAGACUUGGUCAACCAUGGGAGGUCAUGAUGAAAUGGAGUUGGUUAAAGACUUGCCUGAAGGACUCAGACGUGAUAUCAAACAAUUCCUUUUCUUAGAUUUCAUUAGAAAGGUACCACGUUUUCAAAGUCCAGAUGAUCUGAUCCUUGACAACAUAUGUGAACCGUGUUAAGCCCUUUGUUUUCUCCAAAAACAAAAAGGUAAAAUGGAUCACGGACAUAAAUAUUUUUCCAUCACCACUGCGAUCACUCCAGAAAUGUUUUCAUUCUUGCUGCGAAUAUUUCGAGAAGGGGAUUCUGUACCUAGACUGGAGUGUUCAUUGUCAAGGGACGCAUGAAAAGUAACCAAAACUUAAGCAGACGCAUAGUAGCCAAGAGCAUUCUUGAUCCCGGAGGCUUCUUAGGAGACAAAAAUUCCGGCUUUAAAAGCUUCUACUUGAAAUUCAAUACUUCUUCAUUGGCCUGGAUGCUGUUGGGUGCUAACAAUUCAUUUUUCCUGCAUUCCUAAUUUUGAGCUUCUGUUCUGCAGUUCAUCACCUUGCUCAGAUCUUUCAGGCCGCCACGUAUCAUCUUUCCCCUCUGCGAAGAUCAUACAGACGGUUUGAUUAUUAACAUUAGCAUAAAUAGCUUCACCGAGUGCCUUGUACGCACUUCUGAAUCUUAUCAGGUUCACCACUUUCUGCUAGCAACAUUUCUAUAUGGGAAUUUGUUAAUGUUUGUCAAUUCAUGUCAGUUUCAUCUAUAAUGCAAUUUUUUCCCUUCAGAAUUCAGAGCUAAUCGUGAGGUGGGCUAUGUUUGUUGUGGAUUUUUAUAAAAUAAUAUGGUCUGAAAUAUAGUGCACAGUGGUUAGAGCUUCUCGGUUGCAAGCUUGUUCAUCGGUCCAAUUGUUGUUAUAGUAUCAAAAAUGAAAUUGUGUAGUAUGUAUAAAAUUGUAAACUUUUUUCAUUUAGCGAAAAAAAAUUGUUAAAUUUUCUCUCUCAAGAAAGUAUAGAGUCGGG